AUUGCACGCUGGCGGCAGGCCUAACACAUGCAAGUCGAGCGGAGCGGCGGACGGGUGAGUAAUGCCUGGGAAUCUGCCUGGAAGUGGGGGAUAACGUCCGGAAACGGGCGCUACUACCUCAUACUAUCAGAUGAGCCUGGGUCGGAUUAGCUAGUUGGUGGGGUAAAGGCUAACCAAGGCGAAGAUCCGUACCUGGUCUGAGAGGCGGAUCAGUCACACGGGAACGGAGACACGGUCCAGACUCCUACGGUAUGCAGCAGUGGGGAAUAUGGGACAAUGGGCGAAAGCCUGAUCCAGCCAUGCCGCGUGUGUGAAGAAGGUCUUCGGAUUGUAAAGCAAUUUAAGUUGGGAGGCGUGACCAACAGAAUAAGCACCGGCUAACUUCGUGCCAGCAGCCGCGGUAAUAC
rnacentral:rRNA from 1 species